CUGCUUUGCUGACGAGUGGCGGACGGGUGAGUAAUGUCUGGGAAACUGCCUGAUGGAGGGGGAUAACUACUGGAAACGGUGGCUAAUACCGCAUAACGUCGCAAGACCAAAGAGGGGGACCUUCGGGCCUCUUGCCAUCAGAUGUGCCCAGAUGGGAUUAGCUUGUUGGUGAGGUAACGGCUCACCAAGGCGACGAUCCCUAGCUGGUCUGAGAGGAUGACCAGCCACACUGGAACUGAGACACGGUCCAGACUCCUACGGGAGGCAGCAGUGGGGAAUAUUGCACAAUGGGCGCAAGCCUGAUGCAGCCAUGCCGCGUGUAUGAAGAAGGCCUUCGGGUUGUAAAGUACUU
rnacentral:rRNA from 1 species